UACGUAGGGUGCAAGCGUUCAUCGGAAUUACUGGGCGUAAAGCGUGCGCAGGCGGUUAUGCAAGAAAGAGGGGAAAUCCCCGGGCUCAACCUGGGAACUGCCUUUGUGACUGCAAGGCUUGAGUGCGGCAGAGGGGGAUGGAAUUCCGCGUGUAGCAGUGAAAUGCGUAGAUAUGCGGAGGAACACCGAUGGCGAAGGCAAUCCCCUGGGCCUGCACUGACGCUCAUGCACGAAAGCGUGGGGAGCAAACAGG
rnacentral:rRNA from 1 species